rnacentral:lncRNA from 1 species
GUGAGUGGGUUCGUGCUGCUGAUAAACUCCUGCCUGCCCCUCUACCCCUGCCUCUGUCCCUACCCACCCUUGACCCUAGUUACCUCUCUUUGCCUUAUCUGACCUUCCCGCUGCAUCCUGCUCUGUUCGCUCGCUUCCUUGUCCCUGGUGGCUUUUAACUGGCACUGCUCAAAAGCUGAGUGCCCGUUCACUUGGCAGCUGUAUCAGGCGCUGGUGAGCAUCACCAUUAGGGUCACUGUAUUUCUUUAAGCAGCACCUGUCUCCAAGACAGACUGUAAACUCUUCAAGAUUAAUUCAAGAUGAUCUCAGCAAGUAAUAAUGAAGGUCUGUGUCUGCAGGGUUCACAAUAAAGGAAAUUGCGAACAGGAUAAGAAUGUGUAAGCCAGUAACAGAGCAGUAAUGGUGAACUGUGAGGUCAGAGAUUGUGGCAAGGAUGCCCUGGACACGGAGGGGGCCGAGCAUCUGGAUAGGGGAGGUCUAUAAGCUCCUGCAAGUGCCAGAACGGAAUCAUCACGCCCUCCAUCUCUACCCUCAUUCUUCAGUUUCCCAUCUUCUUGUCCACUUUAUCCCUCGUGUCUCUGCUCUGCCCUGGGUUUUAUGUUGUGGCUGUUUUCCCCCACUGACUCUGUGCAUGUGAUUGUCCCACACUGUAGCUGCCUUCGUAAUCCCUUAGCUAUCUAAGUAACGCUAGUAGUCAGAGCAGUGUUUAUCUUCGUUCUAGGGGAGGUCUCUUGCAGCCGCUGUAGUACUGGAAUGAACUAAAGGGAAUCAGACAUAUGCUGAAGUGCCAGUCCAGCUCCAGAGAACCCUGGGAACUUGGGGGGAUCCUGAGCUGGGCGCUUUGGAGAUUUCAAACUUUGAUGUGCCUUUUCUUUUUAAGUCACAAAUUGAUUUUGAAUGUAUGGCUCUUAUGAUUUUUCUCUUCUAGCCUUAGCUAGGGGCAAAAUAAGUUUAGAACUUUGAAACACCAGCCUAACCAAGUAGAAAAACCACAGGUUUUAUUAGAGCCACAUGGUCCUUAGUUUAAAUAUCUUAUUUGAUUUGAGUCUUUUUUUCCCUUCAUAUAGUGAAGAAAAUAUCAGUAAAAAAUUACAUUUCUCUUGCAUGUAAAACCUCCGCAUAAUACCUGAUGAAGUGUGGUUGCUAGACUUGUUACCCACAUUCUCUUCCUUUUGGAUGAAACUAAUGCAAUGGAGGAUCGUGGCCUCUGUGGGGCGAUGUUGGGGUACUUGGGGAUUCUAGAAAUGGCUGCUGGAGCUAGAGUCAAGAAGGUGCAGCCUGGCAGAAAGGUGAGUGUCCAAGCCUAAUGCCUGAUACCUCCCCUUCCUUGCCCUGCCCCC